GCCGGCGUAGCUCAAUUGGCAGAGCAGCUGUUUUGUAAACAGCAGGUUACGGGUUCGAUUCCUGUCGCCGGCUCCA
rnacentral:tRNA from 1 species